rnacentral:rRNA from 1 species
UACGGAGGGGGCUAGCGUUGUUCGGAAUUACUGGGCGUAAAGCGUACGUAGGCGGCUUCGCAAGUCAGAGUUGAAAGCCCGGGGCUCAACCCCGGAACUGCCUUUGAGACUGCGUCGCUCGAAUCCGGGAGAGGCGGGUGGAAUGGGUAGUGUAGAGGUGAAAUUCGUAGAUAUUAGGCAGAACACCAGUGGCGAAGGCGGCCCGCUGGACCGGCAUUGACGCUGAGGUGCGAAAGCGUGGGGAGCAAACAGG